UACAGAGGGGGCAAGCGUUGCUCGGAAUUAUUGGGCGUAAAGAGCGUGUAGGCGGUCCGGUAAGUCAGCUGUGAAAGUCAAGGGCUCAACCCUUGAAUGCCGGUUGAUACUGUCGGGCUAGAGUCCGGAAGAGGCGAGUGGAAUUCCCGGUGUAGCGGUGAAAUGCGCAGAUAUCGGGAGGAACACCAAUGGCGAAGGCAGCUCGCUGGGACGGUACUGACGCUGAGACGCGAAAGCGUGGGGAGCAACAGG
rnacentral:rRNA from 1 species